CCCAUUGAAAAGAAUCUACAUUUCAACAGGAUUCCCAGGUGACAGUAGCACAACAUUGGAGAAGCUCUGGUCUAGAGAACAUCCCACUUCACGGAUGUGGAAAGCGAGGCCCAGGAAGGGUGUGACCUAGCGAUCUUUUUAGAGAGGAAGUAUAGGAGGCCACAUGCAGACAACAGGAAAGUAUCUGGAACCAGGUCACCUCCUGUCUUCAUCACUGUCUCUCUCCCUGGAGCACUGGGGCUUCUCACUGCUGCUGUACGUCUGAGUCACUUCGGGUUCUCCAGGGAUCAAGCCAAAAAUGGCAGCUCAAACGGCAGCUUCAGCUCCUCGGUCGACAUAGCCUCUAGCGAACUGAUCGUGGCUUCCUAUCCCCAAGUACACAGCUGGAAAAUUGGAAGGAUUCGGCAAGGACUGGCCAGCUGCUACAUCUGGAGGCCCUUUUUGAGAAGACUCCUGGUCUGUAGAAGAAAGAAACCACGAGACUGGAAGGGCUUGCAGCCUCAUCACUUCCCGAGUUGGCCACUCGGCCUGUUGCUCUGACUUGGCCCCACGAGGGAGAGGGAGGAGGCCUGUGGUUCCUUUCCAGAUUUACCCCAUGUCUUCCCUCUGUGUCCAGGAAGUCACAAAUGGGGCCAAGAAACGGAUAGUUGAACUUGAGAAGGAAAACACUGGAGGCCUCAUCCAACCCAGAAGUCAUAAAGGAACAGCAGGAAAGGUCUAUAAUGCAUGGGGAGAGGAUGAAGGGAUCUGCCCAGAGUCUCAGGGCCAGAAAAGGAAGACCUGGCUCGUGGGAGUCGCUGCCCCAUGCUCAUUCCUCCAGGCCCAGGCCGCUCCCCAGAGGAGCCCCUCUGCCCCAGGAGGGCU